AUGGUUUCCUUUGCGUGGCAAAGAAAAAUACAGUUCCAGUCCGAUCGAUUUUUAGCCAGCUUAAAUUUCUUCAAUUAAUUAUUUAAAAAAGUUACUUGCAAUUAAACAGUGUACCCCUCGGCAGUACAUGCCUCCACGUGUCCCUGCCUUCAAAUGAAGUGACCCAGCCGUGGGGGUCACCACCACCAAGGACACUGAAAAUAACCAGUUGUAAAUAUCCAAGGUGUGCUAAAACAAAACAUAAAAAUCCGGAAGCUCAGUUUUAUCAAUUUCCAUCCCAGCCAGACAGAUUCAAGAAGUGGUGUGAGUAUUUGGAUCUCGAUUGUCAAAAUGUUCCCCCCGUCUCCAUGAUUUGCGACCUACAUUUUAAGGAUGAUCAGUUUGACAAUU